AUACGAAAGGUGCAAGCGUUGUUCGGAUUUACUGGGCGUAAAGAGAGUGUAGGUGGUUUAUUAAGUCGGAUGUGAAAUCCCGGGGCUCAACCUCGGAACUGCAUUCGAUACUGAUAGGCUAGAGUUUGGGAGGGGUAAGCGGAAUUCCGUGUGUAGCAGUGAAUGCGUAGAUAUACGGAGGAACACCUGAGGCGAAGGCGGCUUACUGGACCAAUACUGACACUGAGACUCGAAAGCGUGGGUAGCAAACAGGAUUAGAAACCCUAGUAGUCC
rnacentral:rRNA from 1 species